rnacentral:tRNA from 1 species
GGGCGCGUAGCUCAGCUGGUCAGAGCGCACGGUUCACAUCCGUGAGGUCGGAGGUUCGAGCCCUCUCGCGCCCACCU